rnacentral:rRNA from 1 species
GCUAACUGCGUGCGAGGUGGUGGGGUAAUGUCGACGGUGAGAGCGUUGGUCGUAAGUAUUGGGCUGAAAGCGUGUGUAGGGGUGAUCGUAAGUCGCGUGUGAACGCCCACGGCUCCACCCAGUAAGUGCGUGAGAUACUGCCGGGCUGGAGUGAUGGAGAGGCGGGCGGAAUGCCCGGUGUGGAGGUGAAAUUCGUAGAUAUCGGGCUGAACACCAGUGGCGAACGCGGCCAUCUGGACAUUUACUGACACUGAGCCGCGAAAGCGUGGGUAGCAAACAGGAUUAGAUACCCGAGUAGUC